UGUGUAGGCGGUACAGUUAGUCUUUCGUAAAAGCACUGGGGCUUAACCCCGGUAAUGCGGGAGAAACGGCUGUGCUACGAGGAUGCGAGAGGUAAAGGGAACUCAUGGUGUAGGGGUGAAAUCCGUUGAUAUCAUGGGGAACACCAAAUGCGAAGGCACUUUACUGGCGCACUCCUGACGCUGAAACACGAAAGCGUGGGAAUCGAAG
rnacentral:rRNA from 1 species